GACGAACGCUGGCGGCGUGCUUAACACAUGCAAGUCGAACGGUGAAAGCGGAGCUUGCUCCGCUGGAUCAGUGGCGAACGGGUGAGUAACACGUGGGCAACCUGCCCCUCACUUCGGGAUAACUCCGGGAAACCGGGGCUAAUACCGGAUAUGACCUCCUUGGGCAUCCUUGGAGGUGGAAAGUUUUUCGGUGUGGGAUGGGCCCGCGGCCUAUCAGCUUGUUGGUGAGGUAGUGGCUCACCAAGGCGACGACGGGUAGCCGGCCGGAGAGGGCGACCGGCCACACUGGGACUGAGACACGGACAAGACUCCUACGGGAGGCAGCAGUGGGGAGUAUUUCGCAAUGGGCGAAAGCCUGACGCAGCAACGCCGCGUGCGGGAUGACGGCCUUCGGGUUGUAAACCGCUUUCAGCAGGGAAGAAGCCGCAAGGUGACGGUACCUGCAGAAGAAGCACCGGCUAACUACGUGCCAGCCGCCGCCGUAA
rnacentral:rRNA from 1 species